GCAUAUUCUUAUGGAAGGAAAGAUCUUUCUGCUGUUUUUCAAUAGCUGAUGUUUUUAAAACAGAAAUAAUUUUAUUUUUCAAAAGAGAUAAAAGUUUAAUAUUUCUAAAGAUUAUACAAUAUGAUAAAUCUAAAUUUUGAAAUAUUGUACUCGCGUGGUUUCAAACCUGUAACAAAGAAACACGUUACAAAAUACCCUCUGAUUGAUGCAUGCACAUAACAUGGUGACAGUCUUCAUUGCGAUGAUAUUUAUUUUCAUCACUUCACUGCCGACAUCUUUUCAAAAAGAAGAGAAAGGAAAAAAUACUCAGCGAAUUUGUAACAGUGCGUUUCAAGAAGCAUGGAAACAAUUAUGUGCAUUAAAAGCGAAAAAAAGGUUUGGUCGAUCAAUAAUAAAAGAGACUAUCCAUAACCUCCAACAGAGCGAUUUUAUCAAACCGAAUGAUGCGCUUCAAUUUCUUCAUCCAUUACAUCGAAAGCGACGGCAAACAGACAAUUUGAAUGCCCACGAAGAAUGCUGCAUCGAAACAUGCAGCUUAGAAGAAGUCAAUGAGUAUCCUUGCUAGCAGUAACUUCAAUGCUGUUAGACGAAUAAAGAUAGCUAGUCACAACAUGACAAUUUUAUUUAUUAUGGUUAGCUGUUUCGAAAAUGUCUAACGUGGCGUUUGUAAUAAUUACUUCUGUUAUUAAAGAAUUGACAUAUUAAAAGCUUCGGGAAAGAAAAUCUAUACAUUUUGUAAAAUAUAUAUCAAGGAUGUAAUUUUAUAUAUUUAUAACGUAUUAUGGACUAUUAAUAAAUAAUAUAGCUACUAAACUAAAGAAAAGAAAA